UAGAAUGGAAAAUAUAAAUUAGCAGUACAAAACACCUUUCAAAAGUCAACUUUACAUUUUAUUCUUUAUCAGAGAUGUAUGUCAAUGAUAUUAAAACUGGCAUUUGUCAACCAUGUGGUGAACCAAAAAUUAUCAAGGAAACAGUAGCGACAGCAUAUGUUAAUGGAAAUAAUUUGCUUGGCCCAGUGGUUGGAAAUUUUUGCAUGAAAUUAGCUAUUAAAAAAGCAAAGGAAGUUGGAAUUGGAUGGGUAGUAGCUAAAGGAUCAAAUCAUUUUGGUAUCUGUGGAUGGUACAGCAUGUUAGCCAGUAAAGAAGGAUUAGUUGGGAUCUCAUUUACCAACACUUCUCCAAUUAUGGCAACCACACGAGGGAAAAAGUUUCUAGUAUUUAUGACCUGAUCCUGUAUGGUAAUCACAAAUCCUUCCAUCUCCCCAAAGAGACAUCCCCGAGCUAACCAGCUGUUUGACGCAGUUUUGUCAACAAAAUCCUGGCCAGGUCAUAAGGAUGUUUGCCAUGGAAUACCUUAUGAGCCCACGAUUGCUUAAUGGUGUCUAUGCUUUUUAUAUGUUGUGUUGUAUCCGUAUGAUAAAAAUUCUUGCAGUGACUAUAUUUGUUUGUAGUGAAGGUUAACUAUGUCAAUCAGACCAUGUCUGCCAUCUUUAUGUGGAAGGGUUAAUCUUUCUGUGGUGGAUUUAGGAUGAUGUUUAUGCUUAUUA